rnacentral:rRNA from 1 species
UACGUAGGUGGCAAGCGUUGUCCGGAAUUAUUGGGCGUAAAGGGCUCGCAGGCGGUCCCUUAAGUCUGAUGUGAAAUCUUGCGGCUUAACCGCAAGCGGUCAUUGGAAACUGGGGGACUUGAGUACAGAAGAGGAGAGUGGAAUUCCACGUGUAGCGGUGAAAUGCGUAGAGAUGUGGAGGAACACCAGUGGCGAAGGCGGCUCUCUGGUCUGUAACUGACGCUGAGGAGCGAAAGCGUGGGGAGCAAACAGG